AUUGAACGCUGGCGGCAGGCCUAACACAUGCAAGUCGAGCGAGCGGCGGACGGGUGAGUAAUGUCUGGGAAACUGCCUGAUGGAGGGGGAUAAAUACUGGAAACGGUAGCUAAUAUCGCAUACCAUCAGAUGUGCCCAGAUGGGAUUAGCUGGUGGGUGGGGUAAUGGCUCACCUAGGCGACGCUCCCUAGCUGGUCUGAGAGGAUUACCAGCCACACGGGAACUGAUACACGGUCCAGACUCCUACGGGAGGCAGCAGUGGGGAAUAUUGCACAAUGGGCGCAAGCCUGAUGCAGCCAUGCCGCGUGUAUGAAGAAGGCCUUCGGGUUGUAAAGUACUUUCAGUCGGGAGGCGUUACCGACAGAAGAAGCACCGGCUAACUCCGUGCCAGCAGCCGCGGUAAUUC
rnacentral:rRNA from 1 species